GACGAACGCUGGCGGCGUGCCUAAUACAUGCAAGUUGAGCGCUGAAGGUUGGUACUUGUCCCAACUGGAUGAGCAGCGAACGGGUGAGUAACGCGUGGGGAAUCUGCCUUUGAGCGGGGGACAACAUUUGGAAACGAAUGCUAAUACCGCAUAAAAACUUUAAACACAAGUUUUAAGUUUGAAAGAUGCAAUUGCAUCACUCAAAGAUGAUCCCGCGUUGUAUUAGCUAGUUGGUGAGGUAAAGGCUCACCAAGGCGAUGAUACAUAGCCGACCUGAGAGGGUGAUCGGACACAUUGGGACUGAGACACGGCCCAAACGCCUACGGGAGGCAGCAGUAGGGAAUCUUCAGGAAUGGACGAAAGGCUGAACGAGCAACGCCGCGUGAGUGAAGAAGGUUUUCGGAUCGUAAAACUCUGUUGGUAGAGAAGAACGUUGGUGAGAGUGGAAAGCUCAUCAAGUGACGGUAACUACCCAGGAAGGGACGGCUAACUACGUG
rnacentral:rRNA from 1 species